UCCCUCAUAGCUAAGUCAGUAAAGAGUCUGCCUGCAAUGCAGCAGACCCAGGUUCAAUUCCUGGGUUGGGAA
rfam:Ovis aries breed Texel chromosome 15, whole genome shotgun sequence.